rnacentral:lncRNA from 10 species
GUCGAGAGGAGCAGAUAGGCAGAGGAACACACGGGUGGCUGGAUGUCGAGAGGAAUACAGUAACAGGCACCUGCAUGCCGGCAGGCCACCGAUUUGCAGAACAACAACGUGGAGUUUGGCUGCGGCAGUGAGAGGACAGCCCAGGCUGCUCAGCUGCCGGGAUCCAGGAGAAACCUUCCCACUCCAUCCCCUUUUGGCUUCCGCCAUGUGAUAUCUCCACUCAAUACAACCUUGUGCUCAUUCUCCAAGCCCAUGAUGUGAUCUGCUUCUGGUACACCAAGGCAAGAACCCUGGGAUGCACAAAGCCCUCUGUCCUUGUGAUAAGGCAGGGGUCUAAUUGAGCUAACACGAGCUGUGUAUACCUAGCUAAACUAAAAGAGUACCCUGUAACACAUUCCCCCUGGGGCUUCCGGAGCUGUUAACAUUCACCCCUAGACACUGCCCUGGGGUUGGAGCCCCACAGCCUGCCCGCCUGUAUGCUGCCCUAGAGGUCUGAGCCUCGGGGCACUGAAAAAGCGAGCCACUCCGCUGCCCCAUAGCAAGACCCGCCAUGGGGAUAAAGGAAUUUUUCCUGUUUCAACUGGGGACUUCGCCUGAGAUCCUGGAAGAUCCCCUGCUUCCUGUGGGAUUGCAGGCUGCACACAUUCCUGCUCAAAGCUCAAGAGCAUAGCGCCGGGACGUCGGGAAACCUUCCACCCUUCGCAACCUGCCGUGUCAACUCCCAGCAAGCUCAAGCUGCAGUUUACACUGGUUAAGGAUUGCUUAAACAAAGGCUUGAACAGAAUGAUGUUGACUGUUUCACAAUGAAAAAUAAUAGUUUUAGCUUAAUCCACAUGCCAGUUCUGGAUCAUUUGCAACACUUCUUACAAUUAUUGAUGUCCUUCCCAACGUCCAUUUCAUGCUCAACUGGGCUUCUAGGUGAUUUUAAAGUUUUGUGUUAUUUUGCUUUGUUUGGUUUUGUUCCCUUGAAAAGAAGACGGUUUGAUUUCUGGGACAAACAUAUUGCUAUGCAAAUACACCCAGAAUAAAUGAAAGAGCCACUCAGACAACCCAUUUUUGCCUCUUCCCUUAGACUUUCAAUUUGACUCCUCUCCAAUGAAAAAGGAUUUAAAGACUGCUUGUGGGGGUCACAGGAGUUCCAGGGGGGCUGUUAGGAAGCCAGCUCUGCAAGGUUGAUGCAGGGAACAAGUUGGCACAUGCUGUUUUAUGUCACGGAAGAGUGACAACCACCAAGAAGCCUUUCUAUCGAGCCAGUUAUCGACCCGUAAGGAGUGAUGAGCACAGGACACGCCUUACCUGAAGCCAGCAUCUCAACACCCAUGUGCAGAAGUCCAGUUAUCUUCAUCCAGGAGACGAGAAGACGAGUUGAGGCUACAAGGCAUGUUUCAGCGGGCUCAUCUAUGCAGCACAGCUUGAGCGUAGUGCAGAUCUUCAGAGCACACAGCUCAAAGGAAGAAGGUACGGGCUGCUCCUGUGUGUACCGAAGAUGGGAGAAGGGUAGGAACAGAGCAUCAGGAGAGCUGCCAUUCCCCUAACUCUGUCCUGGGGUGAUGACAGUGGCUGGCCUAGUGUCUGAGUCUGUGCCAUUCUCCUUUUGCUACUGUGUUCCUCCUCUGACACUCCAGCACAAAGAGUAAUUCCCUGCUUUUAAGCCAUGGCUUCCCAUGAGGUUGGAUCCAGAGGUGCCCCCUAUGGGGACACCAGGUUCUGGGCAUCGGGAGUGGGUUCCCAAAGCUCUGCAGACUGGGUGCUUUCAAACCACAGCCAGGCCCUGCUGGUGAUAUGAACACAGACACAAGGCCAUCACCUCUAAGAAUCAUUUUAUACCUGUAAAAUGACCUUGUGGCUUUGCCUGGCAGUGGCUCAUGAGGGAGGGGCCUCUAUAGAGGGGCUCUGAGGACCAACUUGACUCCCUCUUCCACUCUUCCAUGAUAGCCACAUUCAUGCCUGUAUACGGAGACACUGUUUGUUGCUCAUUACUGGGAGACAUUUCAGCACCCUGCCUUUUCCGCUACGACAAAGUCUACACCUGCUGGAGUAGAGGACAGAGCUGUCCGAGGGCUGCAUCUUGCUGUUUCUCCUGUCUCAUCUGCUACUACUUUUUGCCUUACUUAAAAAAAAAAGUACCUAAUGAAACUUAGAUAAAAAUAUGGAAAACUAUAUGAAGUAUCUAUGUAUUCACCAUGAAGACAGAAGAGAUAUUAAGAUUUUCAUACACUUGCUGUAAAUAUACCUAAUUUACUGAAACGGCCACCUGCCAUUUCUUCCUUUCUCACUUUUCCCAAAGACAUUAAUGUUCUUAAAGAUUGUAAGCACAUAUAUGUAUACUUUUAAUACAUAGGUGUCUAUGCAUGUCUAAAAUAGACCAUACAAAAUUAUAUAAUACAAUGUUUGAUUAUUUUUAUUUAUUUUUAUUUUACUUUAAGUACCGGGAUACAUGUGCAGAACGUGCAGGUUUGUUACAUAGGUAUACAUGUGCCAUGGUGGUUUGCUGCACCUAUCAACCUGUCAUCUAGGUUUUAAGUCCAGCAUGCAUUAGGUGUUUGUCCUAAUGCCCUCCCUUCCCUUGCCCCCGACCCCCGACAGGCCCCAGAGUGUGAUGUUUCCCUCCAUGUGUCUGUGCAGGGACAUGGAUGAAGCUGGAAGCCAUCAUUCUCAGGAAACUAACAUAGGAACAGAACACCAAACACCACAUGUUCUCACUCACAAAUGAGAGUUGAAAAAUGAGAACACAUGAUUAUUUUAUUUUAUUUUUAAUUUUUAAUUAUACUUUAAGUUCUAGGGUACAUGUGCACAACGUGCAGGCUUGUUACAUAUGUAUACACAUGCCAUGUUGGUGUGCUGCACCCGUUAACUUGUCAUUUACAUUAGGUAUAUUUCCUAAUGCUAUCCCUCCCCCUCCCCCCACCCCACAAUAGGCCCCGGUGUGUGAUGUUCCCCACUCUGUGUCCAAGAACACAUGAUUAUUUUAGAAAUAUUUUUUCUUACUUGGACUUCAGAUGAAAAGAAUUAGGUAAAUAAUAUUUCACAAUUUAUAGUGUACUAUUGGUAUCAGUUUACACAAAGUCUCUCUCUAAUCUCAUUUUAAUAUUUUCCCUCUUCCCCAUCCCUACAUGAGCCUCCACUUAUAUGCAUGUAAUAUGAAAUAGAGUUUUAAAUAGGCUAGUUAGGGAAAUGUUUUUGGAAAAGAAAUAUUCAAGUAAAGACUUAAGGUGAGUAUAUAUGGUACCCUUGAAAUAACUUCAUCUUAGAAAAGAGUCCAUUUUAUAUCUCACAGUGCUUUGCCAACAAGAAUAUGAUGUUUUGCUUAAUAAACAAAUUUAAAAAAAGACUGCAUCCAACCAGAUAAGGACACCAACAAGCAGACUUUUCCACUAUCAGUACUCACCAGAGGACUCUGUGACUGUAAAAGAGCAGGCCUCCAGCAGCUCGAAAUGGCCCCCUUAACUGAUACCAUCUUGCAGUCACUCAUGAUAAGAACUUGGCGUCUGCCACAGAAGGCUCUGCCCCAUUAACAAUUCUUCCUUGCAAGACCUGAGACCAUCCGCCCGGCCUAGACCAGAACUCCUUUUGUCUUCUUCACUCCCUCUGGACUGAUUCAUUAACCCUUUCUCCUAUCUCUUUUUCCUCUUGAUGUUAAAUGUUACUUUGUCGUUGAAUGUUUAACCUAUAACAUUUGUAUAUUAAGUAUAUUAUUAUGUAUGGUUUGCAUUAUUGACUGACUUGUGGAGUGGCUUGAGCCUGUGAGCCCAAGGCUGUGUCUACUAAGUAAAUGGGAAGGAUUAAAGAGAAUUGCCUCCUUGGGAACUCCAUUGUAGCUCAUGGCUUUUGUGAUUGAAAUAGCAUCAAUAAAAGCCUGGCAUUGCAAAAAGACACA